rnacentral:rRNA from 1 species
AUUGAACGCUGGCGGCAGGCCUAACACAUGCAAGUCGAGCGAGCGGCGGACGGGUGAGUAAUGUCUGGGAAACUGCCUGAUGGAGGGGGAUAACUACUGGAAACGGUAGCUACUACCGCAUACCAUCAGAUGUGCCUAGAUGGGAUUAGCGAGUAGGUGGGGUAACGGCGCACCUAGGCGACGAUCCCUAGCGGGUCUGAGAGGAUGACCAGCCAGACUGGAACGGAGACACGGUCCAGGCUCCUACGGGAGGCAGCAGUGGGGAAUAUUGCACAAUGGGCGCAAGCCUGAUACAGCCAUGCCGCGUGUGUGAAGAAGGCCUUCGGGUUGUAAAGCACUUUCAGCGGGGAUGCGUUACCCGCAGAAGAAGCACCGGCUAACUCCGUGCCAGCAGCCGCGGUAAUUC